CCUANGGGUGGCUGCAGUGAGGAAUAUUGCACAAUGGAGGAAACUCUGAUGCAGCAACGCCGCGUGGAGGAUGACGCAUUUCGGUGUGUAAACUCCUUUUAUUAGGGAAGAUAAUGACGGUACCUAAUGAAUAAGCACCGGCUAACUCCGUGCCAGCAGCCGCGGUAAUACGGAGGGUGCAAGCGUUACUCGGAAUCACUGGGUUUAAAGGGUGCGCAGGCGGAAUGAUAAGUCAGUGGUGAAAUCCUACAGCUCAACUGUAGAACUGCCAUUGAUACUGUCGUUCUUGAGUACACUUGGAGUGGGCGGAAUGUGUCAUGUAGCGGUGAAAUGCUUAGAUAUGACACAGAACACCGAUCGCGAAGGCAGCUCACUAAAUUGUAACUGACGCUCAGGCACGAAAGCGUGGGGAUCAAACAGGAUUAGAUACCCCGNUANUC
rnacentral:rRNA from 1 species